CGAUGACGGGUGUGUGAGAGUUAAUAAUAAUAAUAAGAAAAAAUAACUCGACCCUGUGAUUUAAAUUUAAAAAAUUACAAGAAGUAGGAGUAAUUAAUCAAAACAUAGAAAUAUCUAGUUUUGUUUUUGAAAUUUUAAGACAAAACAAGGAUUGCAGUGUAAUUAACUAACCUAAGAAAACAAAAGUGGGAUAUCAUAUCUAAACUUCUAAAAAUCUUUCCACACAUACAUGCACUUUUAUUUAUAUAUAAUUAAGAGUUAUUUAAUUAUUAUAUUCUCAUUUAUUAACUAUGAAUCAUAUAAAUGUAUUUAAGCUGAGAAAGAAUGGUCAAACCAUGUGGCAACAUAGUUUUGAUUUUGCCUAUUAAUUAACUGUGAUGGUCAAGCCUGACGAGAUGAAUUCUUGCUGAAAGUUUUGUCAUAUCUCCGCCACGAUGAAAAAAGAAUGGUCAAACCAUACACCGGCCCAAGACUGGGAAAGGAAUUCUAAGGGUAGAUGCUAAGUCUUGCCGGUUUAAGUUGAUUAUUGGAUUUAUUUUUACAUUUUUAAAAACAAUUUCAAAGAAUAUAUUUACACUAAAAUUUGUUUUGAAUAAUUGAAAUUUUCACUUUCCAUUAAAUUGAUUGUCAGAGUGUCGUCACAGAUCAUUGCAAGUGUUAUCUUCCUCCUAAUUAAUGUUAUUUUUAUUAAUUCCUUAGGUUUCUUUUAGUAUCAAACUCAUUCUCAGACAAUGUUUUAUUUUAAAUUCAGAAAAUUGCUUGGAAAAGUGAUUACGUUUUCUAUUCUACCGGUUGAAAGUUUGAAUACUUCUAAUUUUCCCACUGCUUAAUCGCAUUAGUUCAACUUUGUCAUAAGAAACGAAUUGAAAAUCCCUUGAAAUUAAUCUUAGACGUGAAAAUUGACCAAGGGUUUGUUUGGCUUAACUUUUGGGAGCUGUGGCUUUUAUGAAACUUUUAAAAAUUAUUAUUUAAAACACAUGUUAUUUAAGAAACUUUUCAAAACAACCUCCAUUUACGGUCCUAUUUGGGUUGAGGUAAUGUAACCUUUUUUCUUUUUUUUUAAUGAAAUGAGCACCCUAUUAUUUAAUUUGAUCAAGUUAACUUCCUAUUUCCAAGCAAAAUCUCUGUCAAGUCCACAUAUCUCUACUUCUAAAGGCUCAUUGGCAAACAUUAACAAAAUUGCUAGAAACAUCAAGGCUGUAUCACAUCAGCCAAACAACCAACAAAAAAUUGCUUUCCAUUCCAAAAAAUUAGGUUCUUGCAUUGAAAUUUGAAAGAUCCCUGGCAUUACUUAAGAUAAGUAGAUGAAACCCAAAGCAACACAUAUGUUAUCAAUGAAGUAGUCACUUCGGAACUCCUUAAUCCUUCAAUAAUAGCAAUAGGUGGAAUCUCGGCUACCAUCAAGAAGGUUCCCGACAAGCGGGAGAAAAUAAAAACUGUAAAAAAAUUUAUAAUUAUGAAAAAAAAAUUAAUAAUAUGUAGUAAAUAUAUUUUUUAAAUAAUAAUUUUGAUAAAAUUAUUAAUGAUAUAAUACAUUUUUUAUCACACAAGGAAAAAAUCAUAAAGAACUAUGUAUUUUUGAGAAAAUACGAAAAAACAGGUCGUCGGUGGAUAAUUACCCAAAAAAUUAAUACAGUAUAAUGCAGUACCAAAUACAGUAUAACUAAAAAUUAAUACAGUACAGCGUAGCACCAAAUGUUGUACAGUAUUAUUAUAAUACAAUGUUAAUAUAAUAUAACAUAAUACAAUACACUUAUAUUAAAAUAAUAUAAUACAACAUAAUAUAAUACAAUAUGCCAAAAACACUUAUAGUGUUUCAAAUCCAUCAAUACAUUGUUGCAACAAAUUUAUCGACGUUGCACAUUUGGUUUUUCAUUCCUUCUUUUUUCAUAACGUAUCUUAAAUUUGAGAAAUUAAUUUAACCCAUUAUUAACUUGAGACAUAUCAUAAAAA
rnacentral:lncRNA from 1 species